UACGGGGGGGGCAAGCGUUGUUCGGAAUUACUGGGCGUAAAGGGCUCGUAGGCGGCCAACUAAGUCGGACGUGAAAUCCCUCGGCUUAACCGGGGAACUGCGUCCGAUACUGGAUGGCUUGAGUUCGGGAGAGGGAUGCGGAAUUCCAGGUGUAGCGGUGAAAUGCGUAGAUAUCUGGAGGAACACCGGUGGCGAAGGCGGCAUCCUGGACCGACACUGACGCUGAGGCGCGAAGGCCAGGGGAGCGAACGGG
rnacentral:rRNA from 1 species